AGUCUAGCCGCCCGCCUAGGACGAUUUUUCAAACAUUGCGAUUGACUGAAAGUUUGAAACCCGAAUUUGAAAAAAUUUAGCUGCAAAUUUGAGCUUGAGAUUGGGAAGCUGAAGCAGUGAAGCACAAGUCAGGUCCAUAGAAGAGCAAAUAUGUUGGUGCAUGCAUUCUAUGUUGUUAUCUUGAACUUUCUAUCUUUCACAUUCUCAUCUCUUAACUAUUAAGAUUUGGUGAACAACUUGGACAGAUUUGUCUGAAGGCAGAUGAAAGAGAUGUAUACGAGUUCUUCUCAAGGGCUGGCAAGGUCCGCGAUGUACGCCUCAUUAUGGAUCGCAAUUCAAGACGUUCUAAGGGAGUUGGGUAUAUUGAGUUUUAUGAUGCAAUGUACGUACCUAUGGCGAUUGCACUUUCUGGUCAGCCUCUUCUUGGUCAACCAGUGAUGGUGAAGCCAUCAGAGGCUGAGAAGAAUCUGGUUCAAUCAACAUAUGUGGUUAGCAGACCAGGUGGGAUGAUAGGCCCAUAUUCUGGCGGAGCUAGAAGGCUGUAUGUUGGAAAUCUCCAUACCAAUAUAAAAGAAGACGAUCUCCGCCGGGUGAGUACUUUUCUGACACAGUUCUAAUGUUGGCAUCAGAUAAUGUACAUAAUCAAGCUUGCUGUUGGUUAUGUAAUUUUUUUUUUUUGUUGCUUUUGAGCACUUCUGUUCACAGUUUCCUAAUUUCUAAUUGUGAAUAUUUUUUCCAUUUUGACUUUCACCCUUUAAUAUGUGAUAUAUAUGAGAGUGCCAACAUAAAAAACCUUGAUAUCCCCUGCUAUUUGCUUCCCCGCAACAUUUGACACUAAGCUGCUGCUUUCUUACAGAGCUUUCCAGGAGCUUUCUCGCUAUCUCUCUGUUUUUCUUAUUUUGGUAUCAGAGCCUUAAGAGUUACGGUCUUUGUCUAAGUCUGCUACUCAUUCCCGCCCAAGUGGCUGGUUUAAGCAUCUGAGUAGAAGGUUUUCAUCUUCUUCCUUUCCUUCCUUUUUAUUCUUUGAGUUAUCUGUUAAUUUCACUCUAAGGUCUGACCCGUGAGUCCUUUUUGCUAGAUCUGUAAGUCCCGAGGGUAGGGCGUUUGUGCUGGGCAGGAGACAGAAAAUUGAGUGGAGUUAGUAGGUUUCUUAGAG